rnacentral:rRNA from 1 species
UACGAAGGGGGCUAGCGUUGCUCGGAAUCACUGGGCGUAAAGCGCACGUAGGCGGUUUGCUAAGUCAGGGGUGAAAUCCUGGAGCUCAACUCCAGAACUGCCUUUGAUACUGGCGAUCUCGAGUCCGGGAGAGGUGAGUGGAACUGCGAGUGUAGAGGUGAAAUUCGUAGAUAUUCGCAAGAACACCAGUGGCGAAGGCGGCUCACUGGCCCGUUACUGACGCUGAGGUGCGAAAGCGUGGGGAGCAAACAGG